AAGAGAUGGUACAUGUUUAAUGCAUUAACUCGAAGUAAAUGAACCCUUCACAUGUAAGACCUAUUACUAAUGCAAUUUGAGAUCCUCAAUUUGGUUAACCAGCUGCAAAAGCCUUUACUCAAGAAGCUACUGUUGCAACUCUUGGGAAGAAGACUAUAGUUAUGUCUACAAAAGUACUUAUUGGAGCUGGAGUUCCUUACUGCAGGUUUUGAGGAAAGUGAUGGAUGUCGUGGCAUCGAAGGGCUUGCUUAUAGAAGAUAAUGUCAUGUCCAUGUACUUCGUUAAUCGCUUGGUUGCUUGCAA